rnacentral:lncRNA from 1 species
GUCAGCCUUGAAGACCAUAAUGCCUCCAUCAUCUCAUUACUCUUGUGUUUUUUCCCCGCAGAUAACAGCCGACAGCAUGUAUCAUGCCUGAUCCACAUCGAGAGAGCAAUGAUUUGAGCGUGUCCAUCCCAUGGGGCCUGCUUGCUUUCUGAGGAGACGACACUGCGGGCUGUGUGAGAACUUUUUCAGCAAGCAGACUUUGGGGGAAGAAAUAGAACUUCAUUUGCGAAUAUAAAUAUCUUACAAAAUCGCCUCCAAGGUAGGUAAAAAUUUAAUUGCCUUAAUUUUCAGAGGUGCCUGAAAAAAAAUCACUCUAUCACCAGUUGAUGUCAGUGAUCAGGAAACCUUUUUGAGUUUGAGAUUUCCUGCCUACACUUGCCACUUAUUUUAAAAGUGUGGAAGCUGAAGUUUUGUCAUGUUUGUGAAGGAGCA